AGCGAACGCUGGCGGCAGGCCUAACACAUGCAAGUCGAACGAACUCUUCGGAGUUAGUGGCGGACGGGUGAGUAACACGUGGGAACGUGCCUUUUGGUUCGGAAUAACUCAGGGAAACUUGUGCUAAUACCGAAUGUGCCCUUCGGGGGAAAGAUUUAUCGCCAUUAGAGCGGCCCGCGUCUGAUUAGCUAGUUGGUGAGGUAACGGCUCACCAAGGCGACGAUCAGUAGCUGGUCUGAGAGGAUGACCAGCCACACUGGGACUGAGACACGGCCCAGGCUCCUACGGGAGGCAGCAGUGGGGAAUCUUGCGCAAUGGGCGAAAGCCUGACGCAGCCAUGCCGCGUGAAUGAUGAAGGUCUUAGGAUUGCAAAAUUCUUUCACCGGGGACGAUAAUGACGGUACCCGGAGAAGAAGCCCCGGCUAACUUCGUG
rnacentral:rRNA from 1 species